rnacentral:rRNA from 1 species
UACGGAGGGUGCAAGCGUUAUCCGGAUUUACUGGGUUUAAAGGGUGCGUAGGUGGAUAAUUAAGUCAGUGGUGAAAUCUUCAGGCUUAACCUGGAAACUGCCAUUGAUACUAUUUGUCUUGAAUACUUCGGAGGUAAGCGGAAUAUGUCAUGUAGCGGUGAAAUGCUUAGAUAUGACAUAGAACACCAAUUGCGAAGGCAGCUUACUACACAGUAAUUGACACUGAGGCACGAAAGCGUGGGGAUCAAACAGG